CGGAACGUAGCUCAGAUGGCUAGAGCGCCAGUAUGGGGUACUGGAGGCCAGCGGUUCAAGUCCGCUCGUUCCGACUA
rnacentral:tRNA from 2 species